rnacentral:lncRNA from 1 species
AGAUUCACAGUUUCUGAAAGGACCAUGGACUAAUUGGAUCACAAGCAAACUGAAACAUUACAGGAAAUAAUACUGCAAAGCUGGGCAUAGUGACAUGCACCUGGAGUCCCAGCUACUCGGGAGGCUGAGGCAGGAGGAUUGCUUGAGCCCAGGAGUUCAAAGUUGCAGUGCACUAUCAUGACACCUGUGAAGAGCCACUGCACUCGCACUCUAGCCAGGGGAGCAUAGUGACACUUCAUCUAUUACAAAAAAUAUUAUAUAAAAAUUAUGAAAAGAGAGAAUACUGAAUGAAUAUAUAUAUAUAUCCUUUGUAAAUUUUUCUUUAGCAUAUCUAUCUAGGUGCUGCAUUAUUUUACCAAAUAAUAGAAUUCACAUAAAUCUGCAGAGUUUUCAAAGAGACUGUAUUGAAGUUAAUGCAUGUGUACAUUAUUAUUUAGUGAAAAGUUAAAAAUGAUGGCAUAAGUUUUGUUUCACUUUCCCAUGUUAAUAGGAAGGUAUACCCAGAGUACAUUUCUUCUUAAGAAAAAAAAAGAUUGAGGUCACCUUGACCAAAAAUUACCUGUAUACUAGUUCAAAUAUAUUGUAUAUGAACUACAGUUUAAGAAAUAUCAUCAAAUAUUAUUAAUAUAUUCUACUAUCUAAAAAUUCUGCUAUAGCAUUAUAUUUUAUGGCUAAAAAAGCUUGAUACUGGUUGUUACAGUAAAUCUUUACUAACUUAUGAAGCAUCAAAUUCAGAUUUUUAAAAAUUAUGUCAAGCUCAAGCUAUUUAGAAUUCAGUAUAAUUUUAUAUACUACAUAAAAAGAAAAUAGCUUAAAA